ACAACCAUAAAGUAAAGUGGUGAUCACAAUCUUGUGUUUGUAGUCAAUAAAUGUUUUCGUUUUGAUAUGAUUGUUUUCUGUUUAGUGGAGCCCCUUGAGGUAUCGCUGCUGCUUUUUUUAUGUCCCAAUUGGAGAUGUAUGCUAACUGCUGCGUAUUACAUUUUGUUUUUUUCUGGAGACACACAGAUCCAAGUUUAAUACUAACCUUUUCACUGAGUUUCAACUUGAUUUGACAUGUAGGAUCAUUUACUAUGCACAGGACAUUUUUUGGUUUGCUAUUCUUGGAAUGCUUGGUGGUUUGAUUGGCGGCGUCUUCAACUUCCUUGUGUGUGCUGUCACAAAACUCUAAUGGGGAUUAAGUAUAUUUAUCCACUUGGUUGGAGACGAAUUUUAGAGUCUACUCUACUGUAUCAACAUUGUCAUCAUGGAUUACACGUAACUUUACCUCGCGUCACCACUGGGUGUCUUCUAUGGUGGCCAUGCAUGUCGUGAUGUCCAUCCAUCCAUCCAUGUUAUCAA